CUGUCUGUCAGUCAUUUUGUUUUGUAAGGCAGAUCCCUGUUUGUAGGAUCUUAUUUUAGGUUCGAGCUGAAUAACACUUAUCUGUGUUUUCAACUUUCUUGCGAAAAUGGCUGAAUCGAAUGUUGAUGUUCGUGACGUAGUACCUCCACCAAUAAUCAGAGUGAAUCUUGAUGUCCUUAAUGCUAGUGGUCAAUACCAGUUGCAAGUCAAUGCAUUUGGCCACAACGUCGGGUUUGUUGGCCAUAGGAGGUUCAGUAGCUGUGGUCGGUUAUGGCUUAUACAAGAUGGGAUACAAAGCUGGACCAUUUUACCGUGGUAGCAUUGCAUUUGAUAUUACAACUGAACCGGACAAAGAACGUACAGUUCGUCGCAAAUUGGAGAAUGGGACAUUCUUACAAGAGCUAAGGGAAGAAGUCAAAGAUAUAAUAGAAGAGCAUUCUGACAUACUGGGCGACCUUAAGUACUUCACCAUAAUCUCAUGUGAAGAAAUUUUCAAGUCGCAAGUAAAAAAAUGCGAU